CCUAUGCUUCAAAAGCUAUAUUUAACUAUCAGGUUACUGUUACGGCGGUGGGCCACCAACAAAUACGUUCUAUAUACUUGUUAUGGUAUAUAGAGAUUCCCACAAAAAGUAAAAUAGAAAAGACGAGAGGAAGAAGACAAAUUAAAGAAUCUGGUACGUUGUCAUUGAAGCAAAACUAAAAAUAACUUUAUUGAAGAAAAUAACUCAUCUCCAUAUGCAACCUUCGGCGAGCGCUAAUUAAUUAUGGCGACUCCCGGCUUCAUUAACCAAAUAAUUCAGGUCUACCUAUUUAUAACUAAUUACAUAGAAUCCUACUCUGAUUUGAUCUUAUCUUAACCAUCAUUUAAAUAAUAACCGAAUAUAUCUUAACCAUAACCGAAUAUAAUAAUAGAUAAUAUCAAAUAAUCUAAUCCUAAUCUAAUUAGCAUUAUCCUUAACACUCCGCCAUAAUGCUAAUGUUCUUCACACCGAUCUUCUCUCGGCAAAAUAUGAAUUUCUCCAAUGCUGGCGACUUUAUGAAAAUAUCGUCCAUCUGCUCCUCGGCUGCGUAUUGUAUCCAACUCGAACCCUUCUCGUACUUUUUCGAUCACCAAUUGAACCUGUCCAAUUACUAUUAAAGCAACCAAAAUAAAAAUCGUUAGGAUUAGUAUACCACAACCGGUAGUUUGUUGUUCUUUUCAAAUCUCUCAAUAUUCUUUUCGCCUUAUAUAUCCACUUAAAUCCAAUAACUUUUUUAUCUAUAGACGAUUCAUCAAACUCGUAGAUAUUAUUUUUCCUUAACGCCGUAUUUUUUUUGUUCGUCGCCUUAUACCAAUCAUUAGAUUUUGUCGCCUCCUCGAAGUUUUGUGAUUCUCCACAUUGUGAAUACAUGCAUUGUUCGUAUAUUUCACUAAGUGAUCUUACUUUUCUUGGCGUCGUCUCUGGAGAAGUUUCUGGUGAAAUCCGCGGUGAAGCUUGUGGUGUUGUUUCUGUGCUUGUCGUAUUUUCGCCAUUGUUUCUAUGUUUAGUUGCAGUUUCAUUUUCGAAUAUCAGAAGUGGAUUAUCCUGCACUUUUGCGCUCCAAUCCCAAGCUUUUUGUUCAUCAAAUAUAGCAUCACGACUUAUAAUUAAACAGUUAGUAGCAGGAUUAUAAAAUCGAUAGGCUUUACUUCUUUCGCUAUAUCCAACAAAAAUACACUUCUGACUAUUAUCAUCCAAUUUUUGCCUAUUUUGUGAUGGGGUAUGAACAAAAAAAACUGAUCCAAAAAUUUUAAAGUGUUUUACCUUCGGUUUCCACCCCGUUCAUACUUCAUAAGGUGUAAUAUUCUCCAGCGCUAAAGUUGGACUUCUAUUGAGAAUGUAUGCUGCAGUAGAUACCGCUUCUGCCCAAAAUUUGUUCGGGAGAUUUUUUGGUUUCAACAUGCUUUUUGCCAUCUCGACUAAAUUUUGAUUUUUGCGCUCUACAACACCGUUCUGCUGAGGCGUGUAACUGGUUGUCAACUGCCUGUGGAUACCAUUAGCCUUACAAAAAUUUUCAAACUUGUUAGAAAUAAAUUUUUCCCCUCGGAGAGUCCUAAUAUAAUAACCGGAUUCGUUCUCAACCAAAAUUUUAAAUUUUUGAAAAACAUCAAAAGCUUCAGAUUUAUUUUUGAUAAAAUAAACCCAAGUCAUGCGGCUAUAAUCAUCCACGAAAACUACAAAAUAGUAAUUGUUGCUGAGCUACGGUGUCUGCAUUGGUCCACAUACAUCUGCAUGUAUCAAUUCUAAUGGUUCUCUGGCUCUCCAAUUAUUCAUUCUUGGAAAAGAGUCCAUGUGAUGCUUUCUUAGCACACAACUUUCACAUACAGAACCAUUAUUAUGCACCAAGGGCAAACCAUCAACCAUAUUCUUUUUAUGUAAUAGAUCAAGUCCCUUAAAACUCAAGUGACCAUAUCGAUAGUGCCAUAACCAAUCAUCAUCUAGCACUACUUUCAUUGCAACAUGAACAGAAAAAACUUUAUUUUCUGUUAUCGGAACUUCAAAAAGCAAAUUCUUUUUAUCAUUAUCUCCAUAAAUUGUGCACUUAGAAUCUUCAAAAAUAAGCGAAUGACUUUCUUUCAAAAAUUGACCCACACUAAAAAGAUUGGAAUUCAAUCCUGGAACAUAUAAGACAUUAUUUAUUUUUUGCAUUCCAGAAAUAUUUACCGCAAUUGUAACUCUUCCGUGCACGUCAUGGACAUAGCCGUCACCCAUUGUCACGCGGCCUUUAACUGAUUUGUCCAAAUUAAUAAAGUUUUCUUCUUUUCCUGUCAUGUGAUUGCUACAACCGCUAUCAACAUACCAAAUAUUGUUAGCAGUUUUUUCUAAUGAACGACAUGCAAAAGUACAUUAUCGUUUUCAUUCUUUUCACAAGCAAAAUUCGCAUUCUGUUGUUUCAAUCGACAAAAGCACUCGAUAUGGCCAAAUUUUUUACAAUAAUAACAUUGAAUAUUUUUACGAUUGUGGGAUUGAUCGUUACCUCCGUAGGUUCUCUGAUUUUGAUUACCUGAUCCUUCAUUAUUUCUGUUGUUGAAACCACCUGAUCUACCACCACGGCCUCUACCACGGCCACAACCACGACCUCUACCACGACCUCUAAAUGUUGAAGCUUGACGAUUGAAAGUAUCUGUACCACCUUUUUCAUCGCUUUUCGAUUCGCUUUGAAAAGCAUGCUCAGAAAAAUUUUCAGUUCUAUCAUUUCGUUCUUCAUGUGCUAAAAGGGAAUCAAGAAGUUCGCUACAAGAUAAUUUAGAUAAAUCUUUUGCCUCUUCUAUAGCAGAAACAACAUCACCAUAUUUUUUCGUUAGACUUCUUAAAAUUUUUUCGACUACUGUUUGAUCAGUAAUCUGUUCACCAUAUGUACGCAUCAAGAUAACUAAUUCCAUAACUUUAGAAUAAAAUGUAUAAAUAUUUUCAUUUUCUUGCAUAAAAGAAGCUUCAAAUCUUCUUUUUAAAGUUUGAAUCUUAACUCUGAGUACCUUUUUGUUACCUUGGUAUUCCUUCUGUAAUAUAUCCCAUGCUUCCUUCGAUUUAAUAGCACCGGUAAUGUGGGAAAAUAUAAAAUCGUCAACUGAUUGCUGAAUAAAGAAAAGUGCCUUUACAUCUUUUUUCAGAUUCUCUCCGGUUGUUUCCUUGCAUCCUUUUUCGACAAAAUCCCAUAAAUCUUGGGAUCGUAGCAACGUCCGCAUCUUCACGCACCAAAAAUCAUAAUUGUCCCCCUUGAAUAUCGGAAAUCCUUGUGCAACUCUGUUAGCGCUGUUAGACGCCAUCGACACCUUCUCCUCUCAAAAUCCAGGCUCUGAUACCACAUGUUACGGCGGUGGGCCACCAACAAAUACGUUCUAUAUACUUGUUAUGAUAUAUAGAGAUCCCCACAAAAAGUAAAAUAAAAAAGACGAGACGAAGAAGACAAAUCAAAAAAUCUGGUACGUUGUCAUUGAAGCAAAACUAAAAAUAACUUUAUUGAAGAAAAUAACUCAUCUCCAUAUGCAACCUUCAGUGAGCGCUAAUUAAUUAUGGCGACUCCCGGCUUCAUUAACCAAAUAAUUCCGGCCUACCUAUUUAUAACUAACUACAUAAAAUCCUACUCUGAUUUGAUCUUAUCUUAAUCAUCAUUUAAAUAAUAACCGAAUAUAUCUUAACCAUAACCGAAUAUAAUAAUGGAUAAUAUCAAAUAAUCUAAUUCUAAUCUAAUUAGCAUUAUCUUUAACAGUU
rnacentral:lncRNA from 1 species